rnacentral:rRNA from 1 species
AGAGAUGGGUGCCCCUUUGUGGUCGGUGGGACAGGUGGUGCAUGGUUGUCGUCAGCUCGUGUCGUGAGAUGUUGGGUUAAGUCCCGCAACGAGCGCAACCCUCGUCCUAUGUUGCCAGCGGUCAGUGCCGGGACUCAUGGGAGACUGCCGGGUCAACUCGGAGGAAGGUGGGGAUGACGUCAAGUCCUCAUGGCCCUUAUAGGUGGGGCUACACACGUCAUACAAUGGAUGGUACAAAGGGUCGCCAACCCGCGAGGGGGAGCCAAUCCCAUAAAGCCAUUCGUAGUCCGGAUCGCAGUCUGCAACUCGACUGCGUGAAGUCGGAAUCGCUAGUAAUCGUGGAUCAGAACGCCGCGGUGAAUACGUUCUCGGGGUUU